UGCGGCGAGCGAGGACCGAGACCUUCCCUGGGUGGGUGUAAGGGCUGGGGCAGGGCCAGGCUGGGUCUGGUGGCCUGUCCCCCAGCCAGUCCUGAAGAUGCCCUGAGGGCAGGACCAGGUUCCCUCGGCUUGGACAAGGGUCUGAGUGGCCUUGGCAGGGACUUGGCCCUGCUCCCACAGAUGUGGGGCCUGCAUCGACUUUGGCCAGUCCGAAGGCCGUGGACAGGAGUGAGGCCGAGACUUGUUGGUGUUCGGAGAAAGGGACGACUUUCCAGUCCCUCUGGCCCCAGUAUGGGGACCCAUGGCCCUGGGUGUGGGGGAGAGGUGGCCUGGUCACGCCCCAUCUGUGCUGCGGGCCUCAGACUCAGUUCCCGGGUCUCGGACCUCAGUUCCCCGGCCCGUGAGCUCUCCUUCCCCUUCAGUUCCCCAGGCCCUGAACCUGCCCUGACCCGCACCCCAUGUGCCUCGGGCAGCAGCCCUGUUCCCCUGGUGGUGAGGGGCACGAGAGACCCUCACCUGUCCCCUUGGCCCAGGCUGGGCAUUCUAAGGUCCAACGGCCUUGCUCCUCAGAGUGGGGUCCAGGGGCUGGCAGCUUUGUGCUGGAAUCAAGACCCCCGGGGCUGCUCCCCAGGCCCCCCCGCUGCUGUGGGAGGGGCGGGGGUCUGCUCACGGCCAUAGGGGGUUGGAUCCUACUCCAGUCUCACAAGAGUGAGAACCGUGAGGCUGGUGACACCGGGGCCAGCCGGGGCCAGCCGGCAUCCAGCAGCAUCGUGAGUGCCCCUGUUUCCUCACCUCUGAGUGCGGCAGGAGGGGGCUCCUGCCUUCACACAGCACCGUGACCCUACCCUGCUUUAGGCCAGGAGAGGCCAGGAGGGGCGCGGAGGACUCUGCUGGGGCUGCAACCCCGGGGGCUCUGGCAGCCAGGACAGGCAAGGACAGCGGAGUGUGUGUUACGAGGCAGCCCGGACGCAGGGUCCAG
rnacentral:lncRNA from 1 species